ACUCACCCAGCUGGUUGGAGAGCGGCAGUGUGAAAGUGGACUGCUUCAGGGGGGCUUCCAGCAGGGCCCUGGGGUGGGACCCCCUCCCUGGAGGCUCCCUGUCCGGCUGCGGGAUAGGCAGGUGGCAGAACUUCCCGGUGGAGUUGGCGGGGCACCAGCACUCGUCCCUGCCGAUGCAGCGGCCUCCGUUCAGGCAGGGGAUCUGGCAGAAAUCUGUAACAUCGACCCUCAAGUCUCAGGUUGUGGGACAUCAAAAGAAGGGUCUGGUGCCAUGUUUGCCCCAGGCUGGUCCAAAGAAGCAGUAUCCCUCCGAUUAAGGACAGUAGAGGUUUGGUAACAGAAGAAGGCAGGUCUCAAUGAGAAGGUGACCACGGCCCCCAGGAGACGCUCCAUCUACUAUCAGCCUUGGAAGAACCGCUGCAAUUUCAUCAAAGGACAGAAGUUCCCAAACUCACCCAGCACAGGAAUGGAACUUGCUAUCUUUCUGGGACUGUUCCAGGGAAGUCCUGGCCAAGCCU
rnacentral:lncRNA from 1 species